rnacentral:sRNA from 1 species
GCUGGGUGUGGUGGUACACACCUGUAAUCCCAGGUACUUAGGAGGCUGAGGAAGGAGGAUCCCAAGUUUGAGGCCAGCCUGGGCAACUUAACAAGACCCAAACUCAAAAUAACAAUAAAAGCAUUAAAUAUUAGUAGCAACAUCUAGGAUGUUUUUCUUUU